ensembl:lncRNA
ACACAUUCUCUUUAGAGGCUGAUUGACAGGACAGAACAAACGGACUGCAGUCUGUUCAGAGUAAAACACACACAUUUGGUUUUGAGGGAAAAAGUUUGACAGCUGCUGAUUGGAUCAACAGUGAGGAGACAUGGAAGCUGUAGUUGGACUGUUGUUGAUGAUGUGCAGAGUGUCUCAUGGUGUGGAAACUUACUGUGAUGGCAGACAGGAUGGAGCUCAGUGUUAUGGAGCUUUGGGAGGAACUGUGAACAUCCAGCUGAUGGACAACACCUCAGAAAUACCUCGAUACCAAUUGUCAAAGAAUUCAUUAAAAAUACUAGAUGUGAAAAAGAAAAAUGUUAUUACUAAAAUCAAAGAACAGAGAUGUCUAAUUUUUCCAGGUAAUGGAACAUUUAGGCUCAGUAAUCUGAAAAGGAAUGACAGUGGUAGUUAUACCCUUCAAACCUUUAAUUCAGAUGGAAGAACAUCAGGCGAGUGGACUUUACAGUUGUUUAUUCAAGGUAAUUUCUUCCCUGAUAUAUUUUGUUGAUAUAUUUUUCUUCCACUCUGAAGUUUACCAUGUUGUGUUUUGUUGUGUCUAG